AUUCCUCUCAUGGCAUUAGGAUAGUAGAAGGUUCGAGGAAAGUAGCACCUGGAGGCCUAGCCGCAGCCUGGGCUGCAGUUUCCUGAGGCCUCAGGAGGACUCACUCCUGGUCUAGAAUCUGACCAUUAGCCCUGGAGCCCGAGCAGCCUGUACUGUGAGAUUACGUAGAGCGACCUGGCGCAGCCACAGCCUCAGGACUUGGUUCAAGAGUCAGCACCCAUUCAUUUAUUUAUAGUACAAAAUUCGACCAUCCUAUAUUCAGUCCUCGAAGAGCAGGGAAUCUGAAUCAUGCUUAAAGUUGAAGCCUCUUCUGGGAUAUUGCUAAGGAAAAGUCCACAAUCCAGGAUUGCUAAUUAAAAUGAAUUCUACUUAUUGUGCAUAAAUUAAGUUCUAAUGAGGUCAGGAAUGGAGGUGAAAGGCUGCAGAGCUGGGAGGAAUUUGGAGAAAGGAAGAGAUCGAAUGGCUGUCAUAACCUCUAGAUCAAGAUGGAUGAGUGAUCAGAUGGAGAAACUUCUUUCCAAGCACAGAUAAAAACAUUCUGAACCAAAUCUAGACAGUAAUAACGUGGGCAUCUGGGUAAAGUGGUGAGUCAGGAGGGGAGUUACGUUAUUCUAAAUGUCUUGUCCGAGAGGAGGCUAGACAUAUAGUUUAACUAUUGACUUUGUUGGGAAAAUAUAAACUUAAGUCUGUUAAAUGAUUAGAAAUAGAAUGUGUAACUUCCAAACUUGUUGAAGAAAAAGGAAAGGAAUUAGGAAAAUCUGACAAUCCGAAAGAAGACAGAAAAG
rnacentral:lncRNA from 1 species